CAAUUAAGCAAACCAGCAAACCAAAGCCUUUUUUUUGUUCUCCAACAAAUCAACCCACCCUUCCAUCCAUCAACAUGUCUCCCUGCACCUGCAACUGCUGCUCCGGCGAGUGCAAGUCCUGCUCUUGCAAGUCCUGCACUGUAUGACUGCUUCCAUC
rnacentral:sRNA from 1 species